AGAGAGAAACGGCAUUCUUCGAUACAAAUAGGUCCACAAGGCUCUUGAUCUGCUUUACUAUUCCAGUGGAAUGGACGACACCAUGAAGUUGUCCGGAGUGUUGCUCGCUACGCUCGUGUGUACACUGCUAGUGCUACCGGGACUGUAUGGAGAGGGAUACGGAGAGGGAUAUGGACAGGGAUAUGGACAGGGAUAUGGGUACGGGUACGGGCAAGACUACAUUCCAGUACCCUUACCCGUUCCCCGCGGUGGCGGCGGUCUGAGCGGCUUUCUACCCCUCAUCGGCCUGCUAGUCUUGCUAGGCUUGCUAUUUAACGGUAACAACCGGGGUAGUAUCAAUCUCGUCAACACGACACUUGGAUAAAUUGUAGCGAGCGUGGCUGUCUGGUUGUCAUGGUCUUCGCGCUCUAUGUCUCGAGUUUGCUGGUCAGGGCUACAGUGUGUGCAUUUCAUGUAUAGUUGUAUGCGUCUUUGUAUUUUUAUCGUAUUUUGUUAUCAGUUUUUCUUCUUUGACAUCGUUAUAAUUAAAUCAAUGUAAGAACGAA